GCCCUACUAGAGAAAUGGUUAACUCGUCGGCCUCCUAUUAAGUUAGUAACGAUAGCCGAAGAUUCUCAGUUCGAGUCUGAGGUGGGGUG